AUCGGUGAAAGAUGGAUCCGCGUCUGAUUAGCCAGUUGGCGGGGUAACGGCCCACCAAAGCGACGAUCAGUAGCCGGCCUGAGAGGGCGGACGGCCACAUUGGGACUGAGACACGGCCCAGACUCCUACGGGAGGCAGCAGUGGGGGAUAUUGCACAAUGGGCGCAAGAAGGAUGCAGCGACGCCGCGUGAGUGAAGAAGUAUUUCUAUAUGGGAAGCUCUAUCAGCAGGGAAGAAAGGCCCGCAAGGGAGAUGA
rnacentral:rRNA from 1 species